UUACCUACGGGACGCAGCAGUGGGGAAUAUUGCACAAUGGGGGAAACCCUGAUGCAGCGACGCCGCGUGAGCGAAGAAGUAUUUCGGUAUGUAAAGCUCUAUCAGCAGGGAAGAAAAUGACGGUACCUGACUAAGAAGCCCCGGCUAACUACGUGCCAGCAGCCGCGGUAAUACGUAGGGGGCAAGCGUUGUCCGGAAUGACUGGGCGUAAAGGGAGUGUAGGCGGCCUUGUAAGUUAGAUGUGAAAUCCUACGGCUUAACCGUAGAACUGCAUCUAAAACUGUGAGGCUGGAGUGCAGGAGAGG
rnacentral:rRNA from 1 species